rnacentral:lncRNA from 1 species
UUCAUUUACCCUCAUGAAUUUACUGCGCAUCUGAAAUAGUUCAGACCUAACAAAUAGUUCAGACCCCGUGUUCAUGGCGCCUCCGCACAACCGAUCUGCACCCACAAAGCUGCUGCAUGUAGCAAGGCUGCAGGUAAUCACUUUGGUGAGUGUAAUAAAGUAAGAUGGCUGCUCACUUGCUUCUUUUGCCGUGUACUCGCUUAUUUUUUUAUAACUGUGUGAUCUAAGGGUCGGAUCGUGGUUCUUCUAACUGAUUAAGGUAGCUGCUUGUUUGCUUUUUUAUGCUCGCUCAGUUGCCUUUUUUUUAUCUAAGGAUGCAAGUUUUGUGUGUACCAAGUUGUGAAUUAAGAGGACUGAGUUCUAUCUAAGGAGAACCCGAUAGUCCUAUUUAAAGUCAUUUGUUAUUACCUUGAUCCUAUCAUAUGACGUUUGGUAUUUUAUGGUCAUGGAAUGAGAGAUUGCAUUCCUUGUACAGGAGAUCAUUCCAGCGUUGGAUUGGACUAUUGCUGCCUUUUAAUUUUAUUUUUAGGCAAAUGUCCACCUGUAAUGUUAGAGCAAUUAUUUUGGUGCUAAACUAAUCCCAAAUAAGUGCCACCAAUGUGUGAAAAUAAAAUGUGUGAUUAUGAUCUUUUAAUUAUAUUCUGAAUAUGAUUAUUAUGCAAUUUCUAAGUUGUUGACAUUCUAGCCUAUCACAUGUAGAUUGGAAGACUUCUCUUUUUGAUGGACUCUGGAUCUAAAGAAGCAUAUAAGCAUGUAGAGAGGAACAUGUUGUCCACUUUGCUGUACAAAUGUACUACACGAUUUUACACAUGUGUUUGAUUAGAUGAUAUUUGAUGAUUUGAGCAUUGUACUGGUGGGAUUUCCACAACAAUACGUAUGAUCUAAACAUUGACUGAAAAUAUUUAUCAGAGUAUUCGUUUCAAACAAUUAAUUUUGCAAAAUAUUGCACUUAUCAUCCCAAAUGAUGGUUGUUCAUUACAAAUCUCAUUCCAUUUUUUUGUUGUCCCUAUUUGAAAAAAUUUGUAGACGAAGAUGGAAUUUAGAAAAUGGAUUGCAUUAUCAAACGUGCAUUGCACGUGCACGCUUACUAUUUUGUAAAAGGCAAGAGAAAUAACUUUCAUAUUUUAGCAAUAAAUACAAUAUAAUUUAUUGCACAAACUGAUCCAUCUCGAUACUCACGAGUGCGAAGUAGCAUGCAGGUUAUAGUUUAAUGGCAUGUUUAAAACAUAACCUCAAAUUUUAAAAUAGCAAAUAACUUAAUUUUAAUAAAUGCAGACUUAAUAAUAUAUAUCCAAAAUAAAUGAAGCCAAAAUACACAUAUAAUAUCCGAAAGAAAAUGAUAUAUUAUCGGCAUACUUAGUAAUCUGUGAUCUUGAUCAACAGAGUUUAUUCAUUUCCCGAUUUUGUAAUUAUUGUUUCCUUAUGUAAUAGAUAUGUAAUCCGGCGUCUAUUUAUUAACCAGGUGCAGAAAGGAACAAAAAUAAAUGUUUUCCCGUUUAUUAGCAAUGUUUUGUAAUGGAAAAAUGCACGGAUGGAAUGAUAAGGGGCACUUUCCAACCUGGUGCCGGACAAUUCCCCUCUGACUGUCAUAUAUAUAUUGUCCGGCUGUUUGACCACUAUAGUCCAAUUUCCCCUCGCUCGCUCAUCCUCGUGCAAAGAUUACUUUCUGCCUGCGGUAAUGGCUGCAAUGCCCAUUUUUGAUAGAGUGGACGACGUAGUCGAGUACAUGUACAACUACGUCAUGGUUUCCUCAGACGAGGAGGAAUUAGAGUUUGUUCUGGCAGCCCUAAACUCCAUCUAUACUAUAUAUGCAAUUGUUAGCUGCAGAUCACUACCAUUAUAGUUUGCAUUGUCGGCUUCUUUUUUUAAACCCGAGUAAAUAUCUGUUAUUUCACCUAAUCCAUGGCGAUUAGUUGGUCACGUUCAUAAGUUAUUGCAUGCAUGUACUGGUUAGGAUCAUGCUAUCCUUCUAUGUCCAAAAGGUUCUUAGGAUCUAACGUAGUGGCUGCAAAAAAAUGAAUAUGUACCAUUAUUAUCCUUUUACAUUACGCCAUGAUAGUACCAUCCGCAGCACGGGCUUUUAAACUACAAAUUUUCUUUGGACGGUAGUAUAAUCUAACGGGUCCUGGUGCAUGAUACAUGUACCAUCUAUAGAAUUUUUCUUACAGAAAUACAUUGCAACCUAACAUGUCAUAAUAGAUUUUGUUAACUUUCCUUACUGUAAUACUACAGAAAGUCAACCCGACCUUUCAAUAGUACUUCUCUCCUCAAAUGACAGUACAACUCUAAUUAUAAGAUACAUACAUUUCAGACCUUACUAAAUUAUUGAAAAAAUGUACUGUUGUUUGCCCACACAUUUAAGUACUACAUGUUUUACAACAAUACAUUGCAAUCUACAGAAUUUUUCUUACUGUAAUACUACAGAAAGUCAACCUGAACUUUCAAUAGUACUUCUCUCCUCAAAUGACAGUACAACUCUAAUUAUAAGAUACAUACAUUUCAAACCUUACUAAAGGUUUGAAAAAAUGUACUGUUGUUUGCCCACACAUUUAAGUACUACAUGUUUUUGAUACCCCUUAUUUUUCUAACAGAUUUGCUAUCAUGCUGGUUUGUUUGCAGCACAAUAUGGAUAAGGAGCCCUCGUCCAUUCUUGAUCGAGUUAAGUCUACGGACUAUCCAAGACACCAUGCGAGGUGAUACAUGGGUCAAUCCGAGCUGCUUCGAUCUUGGAUUUCGUAAGCUUAUUAGCGACGCGAUACAGAGGAACGCGGGAACAGACUUUGUUGGCUCAACGCAUAUGUUUGAUUUGCAAUUCAUUCGCCUAGCACGGGUGCUCAGUCAGGCUGGCGUAGGCCAAGCUGAACGCACCAACUUGUUGAUCAACCAUGUCAUUGAACGGCCUUUGCCGAAAUACAAUGUGCUCAUGACCCCGUCCAUUGUAAGGAUUUUCAUUCUUAAAAAUUGGUCUGUAUACUAUUUUUUCGCCAUUAACUUUAUAUACCUAUUGCAGUACCUAUUGCCGUUGUAUUUGGUGGAUUCCUCCUAUGGCCUCCUUGCAGUUAAUAUUGAAAAUAGGAGGACUCUCAUAAUUGAUCAUUCCAAUGAGUCAUUCCUAGGCUCAGAGGACUUUCAUGACAAGGAAAUUAAGAAGGAAGCCAUGAUAGUUUUGCAAGAAUUUGGCAGUGUAUUGCAAUAGGGGAGGCCUGGGUUGAAUCCCCAACUCGUGGAUUGGCCACAAGAUCAUACCUAUAUUACAGCUCAGCGGUAAUAGUUUAAAUUGUUUAUGCAUAUUAUAGCCACACUGAUAUAGGUUCUAACAUAUUGAUUUUUUUGGUCACAGCCUGGACUCUGGAUUGAAAGUCCUACAGGAGAUGGCUCACCAAGAUGAUACUCUCGGGCAUAACAUGUCCAGGACUUCAGUAUGUGCAUAUAUAACAAGUUUCUGUCUUACAUAGCUUUGUUAAUUAUAAAUUUAUGGGCUUCCUAUCACGUAGGUCUGUUGUGCAUAUCAUUUUUCAGUUAUUUAUUAAAUUGUUGUUUAUGUUUUCUAGGAUUCACUACAGCUCAAAAAGCACCUGCUGGUCCAGAUGCUGAUGAUCAAAGGCAAUGAAGCAGCUAUAAACAUCCCAGCUGAAAUUACAGCAUGCUUGAGGUUUUUGGAGGAAUGACUAUGGACUAAUGCUAAAUCGAAUGUCGCAAAUAUAAUAAGCUAAUAGAACCUUGUCAGGGAUCAAAUUGAGAUUUAUCCUUUUGGCAGUAUGAAUAAUGGAUUUGAUUAUAUAUAUGUAGAGAAUAAACUGUUUGAUGGCACCCUCUAGCUUCGUAUUCGUUUAAACGUUGUCUGCUUGUUUUGGUUCUAUCUAAAUAUUUUGGCUUCUAUGUAUAUUUUGUACUAUAAUAUUCGUGCGGUCAGGAGCAGGUUUGUUGCUCCAGGUGAACCAGAGGCAUUUUGUAAAGGACCAUUGCAGGUUCAGCCGGCAAAUGAGGUUUUCAGUCAUGCCUCACAUCAUAUACUAACUCGUAUCGUGUAACUCCAUCCAUACACACACUGCUAUACGAUACGAGGUUUACUUUGUCGGCAAUCGUCACAUGCCAGCUAUGGAAUAGCCAAAAUAAAAACAUGUUGCAAUUGUGCAUCUCUAUCCUAAUCCCGACGGAUGCCUCGGGACACUUAUCCGCAUCACUGGAACCCCCAGAAAAGUGUUGCUUUAGCCUUCUCCUAGGAUCAUAAUGUACACUGGAGUAAAUCUUUCCUCUCUAAAUCUGGCCAAAACCCAUACUUCCAGGCUGGAUCAUCUGAUAUAGCUCUUCUCCUAUAGGAUCAUUUGGUAGAUCCAUGAGAGCAGGUACACCUGGCUACUGUCAAAGAAAAAGAGAGAAGAGCCAAAUCACCAGAGCAGCCAUAUCAAGCAUGGGGAAGGAGAGAAGCAGUGGUGGGGCUGCUGCCUUGUGGGUGGAGAAGCAGAUCUGGGAAGAAACAGAUGCAGAUGAGAAGGAGCAGGCAAGCACAUCUAGCUACACUGAUCUGCUGGAAGAGGGUUGCGCCAGAGGAGGAUGGGGAGGAGCUGCAGCCAGAGAGGAGGGGGAGGAACUGUGGCCGGAGGGAGGAGGCUGGCGGCUGCCGCAGAUCUGAGGAGGAAGCCUGUGUCAAUGGUCCAGAGAAGAGACAUGAGAGACCUCUCGCGUGGAUUCUCUCUCUCUCUUUCCCCUUCUCAUAACUGGUCGCACCUGAACCAAUGUUUCCCGCGCUUGUGUUCCCGCCCAGGUCAGCUUUCUCGCGUGCAAUCUAUAUUUCCCUGCUUGACAGGCUAAGGCGUCUGAUUGGUCUGAGGCGUGCAAGGCGGCGCUAAGGCGGACGCUUCAGACGCCUUACAGCCUAAGGCGGACGCCUUACGCAACUGUGUUAGGCAAGGCCUACGCCUUGAGCCUGGAGGGCGCCCUGACGCCUAGGCGUCGCCUGAACGACGCCUUACGGACGCCUUAAAAACAUAGGUGUAGUGAUUAAUCAUCCAUUUCAUUGAAAGUUCAGGUGGUCUUGGGGAUCUCUAUGUGGCAGAAGAUAGAGAUUUGGUGCCUUUUUGUUGCAAAUAUUUCUAGCUUUCUAGGUAGGCCAAGAUUUCUCAACAUUCUGCAAUAUUCAGUUGUUGUAUGUUGUCUUAGGCUCACACCAAAUGCUGAAUUAUAGCAGUGAAUGUAAGUUGUAUUCCAUGUAGAGUACGUAGCAGAUUUAUAGCUUACUAUACUUCUAUAAAUCCUACAACUCCCGUAUUAACGCACGAACCAUAAAGUCAUGAAUUAUAAUUGGCAAAAAGAACUAUAUACAACAACUGAGAAACUGGAAUUAGUAUUGGUUACCUUUGGCAUUGGAAAACCAUGGAGAAACUGGAAUUGAAAUCAUUCAUCGAACUUGUGUGGUCUCUGAGAUAUUACAACUGCAAAUAGUAUAUUGAGACUGUACAUUACUACGUAAUUAUGGAAUUAAGUAUUACUACAAUCUGUUAAAUCAUACAAAAUUAGCUAAGCAGGAAAAUGAUUAGUGUGCAUGCCGUGAAUUUAACUUUGUUGUAGCUAAACUUGGCAUGCAAGCAAUGAAAAGUUCUUUAUUUAAUUAAUACAGUAAUUUAAUUCUUCUUAGUAAGUUAUGAUUUUUUUACAUCUUUCCUAAUUUAUUAACAGGUCUGCAUUUGAUGGAAAACAAUGGUAUAUAUGGUAACAAUGGUAUAUAUGGUAGAAUUAUAUUCAGCCAUGAUCUGCUACCCAGUUAUUCUCCGCAUGGGCUACCUAUAUAUGUUAUUCUCCUCUGCCAUCCCUCCUCCCUCUCCUUGCUCUUCCUUCGGCCAUCACAACAGCAGUCCUGGAGGAAAAUUUCCCAAGGAGUACCUUGUGUAAGCAAGGAGCAUCAAGAAGGCGAGUUGCUCUAGGCACGAACAAUUCUGGAUCUUUAUCUUCUCUAAAAGUGUAAUAGUUGUUAUAUUAGGAUCAUGUUUGGUUGAUGUAUAGUAUCAAAAGUAUGUUUUAUCUUGCAUUUUAUGUAUGUGGUGCUAAAAUUUAGUGAACAGUCAAAAGUUGAACAUCAAGUUAAGCAAACAGAACAAUUUACCAGAGCAAUCUAUGCAUUUGAGGACCUCAUGGUUUUAUCCAUGCCUGUCUUGUAAGUCCAUCUUAGUGAUUCCAUCAAGGAGCUCUCAGCAAGAAUAUCUAGGCUUGGGAAAGAUCUGUCAUGAGAAACGUAAAACAUUUAAGGUAUGUGCAUAACUACAGGUAAUAGAUGGUAACACCUAAAAAGUCUUCCUUUUGAAAUCUUUAAAAAUAUACACAAGAUGUUCUAAAAUAAAAAAAUAUUGUGAAGAUUUAC